rnacentral:rRNA from 1 species
UACGGGGGGGGCAAGCGUUGUUCGGAAUUACUGGGCGUAGAGGGCUCGUAGGCGGCCAACUAAGUCGGACGUGAAAUCCCUCAGCUUAACUGGGGAACUGCGUCCGAUACUGGAUGGCUUGGAUUCGGGAGAGGGAUGCGGAAUUCCAGGUGUAGCGGUGAAAUGCGUAGAUAUCGAGAGGAACACCGGUGGCGAAGGCGGCCUUCUGGACAGUUACUGACGCUGAGACGCGAAAGCGUGGGGAGCAAACAGG